ACCUUCGGUAUCAAGAAGUGCCUAUCAAAAUUUUUGACACCGUCACCAGAAGGACAAGAAAUACAACAGUUCGGAUUUGUAGAGUACAAUGGAGUAGACAUGGAGAAGAAGAGGCCACAUGGGAACGCGAGGACGCGUUUAAGAAGGAAUUUCCCCAUCUUUUCAGGACUUAGUCGAAUCUCGAGGACGAGAUUCAAUUUAAGUGGGGUAGGUUUGUAACAUCCGCAGAAAUCACCAACUGAAAUCACCCGUUAAAAAUUGUUUUCAAAAUCUCUUUACCGCUGAGCUCCCGGAAAUCAAAACCUUCCAGGCGAUUUCACCAUCCCGGCACUCAAGCCGACAGCUAUCAUUUUAUCUGUACCCGUAAUUCUCGCCGCGUGCUGCCGUCAGACGCCGCGCGCGUGCUCCGACCGCGUGCCGUGAACGCCGCCGAUCUCCCCCUUUUCUUUCUCUUUUUCCCUCCCCUUUUCUUUUUUUUCCUUCUUCCUUUCUUCUUAUCCUUCUUUCUUCUUCCUCCUUCCUCCUUCUCUCUCCUCUUCCUUUCUUCCUCCCGGUUCCUGGCGCCACUCCUUCUAGCCGACCCCAACGCCAUUACUCCCUCGGCACCCACCUCCUCCUGG
rnacentral:lncRNA from 1 species